rnacentral:rRNA from 1 species
AGUGAACGCUGGCGGUAGGCCUAACACAUGCAAGUCGAACGGCAGCACAGUAAGAGCUUGCUCUUACGGGUGGCGAGUGGCGGACGGGUGAGGAAUACAUCGGAAUCUACUUUUUCGUGGGGGAUAACGUAGGGAAACUUACGCUAAUACCGCAUACGACCUACGGGUGAAAGCAGGGGAUCUUCGGACCUUGCGCGAUUGAAUGAGCCGAUGUCGGAUUAGCUAGUUGGCGGGGUAAAGGCCCACCAAGGCGACGAUCCGUAGCUGGCCUGAGAGGAUGGUCAGCCACACUGGAACUGAGACACGGUCCAGACUCCUACGGGAGGCAGCAGUGGGGAAUAUUGGACAAUGGGCGCAAGCCUGAUCCAGCCAUACCGCGUGGGUGAAGAAGGCCUUCGGGUUGUAAAGCCCUUUUGUUGGGAAAGAAAAGCAGCAGGUUAAUACCCCGCUGUUCUGACGGUACCCAAAGAAUAAGCACCGGCUAACUUCGUG